UAUGAAUGGGGAUGUUCACACUCAGGCUUGUCAUCACAGAAAAAGGAGCUGACCAACUAUCCCCAGACGAUUAUUCAGUCUUUGCAAACCAGCGUGGUCAUAGGCUUGUUUUCUCCUGAACUGAGGUUGGAGAUCCCAUGGGAAAGCACACAGCACGUGCUCAGUCAACCCUGGCUGCAUCAUGGACACAUCAUCAUCAUCGUGAGAGUAUCAGUAGACUUGAUUAUUCAAACAAUCUAAAGUUGAAGAACCCAAGGCUUUCUUUAAAACAGGACAUGUUGUUUAGAAUCAUAACAGGCAAUGUGAUGCAUUUCAAAAUACUACUGUCCUCUUUAAGCCAUUGUGCCACUGGAGUCUGCCUGAUGCCCCCAAAGGACUCUCUGUAGAGGCCUCUUUAGAGACAAUGAGAUCUUGGAAUCUAAAUUUAGAACCAGAGUAACCAGUGUUGGUGGCCACAUAUCAACCUCUUCCAGAGACCAGCUAACUCUGCCCGGUGGUCUAGUAUGAUCAACGGGGAGGAGACUUCACAGCAAGUGGGCAAAGCCUAUGUGGGAAAUAUGGGCAGUCCCUGCUGCCUCCCAUUCCACCUUGAAGCAAUACAUUAUCACAGAGACAUUUUUCUUUCCUUCAUCAACUUGGUAUUCAGUUGAUGCUUGUUCUGUUACAUGCUAAGCUGUUCUUGGCCUCAGGAAACUCUGGCUUCUUGACUGAUGAUAUUUGGUAGGAGCUGUUAUAGCCAAUCUCCUUGCUUGAU
rnacentral:lncRNA from 1 species